UAUUUGAAAUAAUUUAAUGGCGUUUAUAAAGAUAGACUCCGCUGCUUGACAAAACUUUGAGGAUUCGUAGUUUAAACGCCGCAAAUUUCUAGCCCUAAACAUUCAAAAGAAGCUAUUUAUUUUCUAUCUGCACCCAGAAUUCUUUUUGCCAAACUCUUAUCUCUUUUCAAUUUCCGUCUCUUUCUCUCUCAAAAUCGAAAUCUCAACUCUUUCAAUCUUGGAUUUGCAGUCGGUUUCUCUCCUUCCAUUUUCGAUUUAUCCUACUUUUCCCAUUUUUUUCUCCAAUUCCUAUUUCCCCCUUUUCAUUCCUCAUGGAUCACUGUCCAAAUCAACCCUUGACACAGAUGCAGCAUUAGCCACCAUGCAGCACCAUCCCAAGUGGCGCAACAACAACUAGCAGCAGCACCGUUGACGCCUUCCUAAACAAACUGAAAGGGGUCUAAUGGUAUUCUCCAUUCAUGUUCGAUGAAAAGUUGAAUAACUUGCAUGAAACUAUUGCAGCACUUGAAGCAAAGCCUAUAUCUGAUGAACCUGAGUAAGAACAUUUGCUUGAAAAUUUCCAUUCCAGUCGCACCAUAAGGAAACUAGUGUUAGACUUCCAUUCAUUUGCUUCCACAUUGUGGAAGAAAUCUUUGGAAAGAAAGUGCCAGUUGGGAGCCCAGGUCAAUUGUUUUGUCCUUGUAAAUCUUGCACGUUUAAAGCAUAAUAUCCCUUGAUCUCUGAUGUUAUAUGAUAUCGGGUCCCAUGCCUUAAUUUGUUACCAUCUUUUCUGUUAGAUAUGAUCUAAAUAACUUAUGUCCUUUUAUGUUUUCUUUUUUCAUAUUGCAGUCUAAAUAAGCUUUAAUGGUUUCAUCAAGUUAUUGCCCUAACUUGAUUAGAGCUUUGGUAAUGUUUGGUAGGCAUAAUUGCAUUUUGUAUCUUAUUAGUUGUAACUUAGUUUUAAAGUGUCUUUCUCUGUCUACGAAUUUCAUGCUUGUUGUCAUAUUGUCUCUGAUUCUUUAUGGUUCUUAACUUCUUAUUUUAAAAUUCUAAAGAUUCAAUGAGUUCUUCAUUUGACUCUUUUGAUUAAUUGAUUAAUGAUUACUAUAAAUCUUUUGUUUAUGUUUAAGGCGAGAGAAAUUGUAUAGUUCCUGAAAACCUUGGCAAGUUUAUUAGCUUUAAUAUAGGAUCCAUUACCUCAAAGUAACUUGGGGGAACUUGAAUUUGGAAAAGCUAUACCCAUUUACUUUUUUUUUUCUAAACCAAUAAAAAUAGUGUCAAAAGAAGAAUGUUCUUAGCUUUAUAGCUAGCUAUACUCUCUAUUAAGAUUCAUUAUUUUGCAUUUAAAACUAUUAAUUAUGGUCAUCUAAACAAAUGAGAGUUUGAUAAGCUUAGUUUGACAAAUGAAUUAAAAUGCUAAUAAUUUUUUAUGCUUUUUUUCUUUUUUUUGUUGAGCUAUUGAAUGAAAACUGCAUGAAGAGGAAAAACGAUCUUGAUCAGCAGAAUUGUCAUGACCUGAGGAGUAGAGGGUUGUGUUUGGUUCCAAUGUCAUGCACAUCACAAGUUUUGGAGUGACAAAGGAGUUGAUUACUAGGCUCCCUCUAUGGGCAGUGGAUUCUGAUAGAAGGGUUAUUGGAACUGCUCAAAAGAGUAGCUAUAACAUACUUAAAAAAAAAAUGAGUAGCAUAGAUUGUAUAAUGGUCUCAAGAUUGGAUGGUUCUUGAUGUAUUUUCUUGGCACUACCCUGAGUUUUGUAUCGGUCAAUUCUUACAAUGCUUGUGCUUUUAGAUAAUUUCUAUGGUUUGCACAUAUAUUACUUGUGAAUUUAUUCUGACAAUUGGUGUAUUUAGAUAUUU